CCUACGGGCGGCAGCAGUGAGGAAUAUUGGUCAAUGGACGAGAGUCUGAACCAGCCAAGUAGCGUGAAGGAUGACUGCCCUAUGGGUUGUAAACUUCUUUUAUAAAGGAAUAAAACGAGGCACGUGUGCCUUUUUGCAUGUACUUUAUGAAUAAGGAUCGGCUAACUCCGUGCCAGCAGCCGCGGUAAUACGGAGGAUCCGAGCGUUAUCCGGAUUUAUUGGGUUUAAAGGGAGCGUAGAUGGGUUGUUAAGUCAGUUGUGAAAGUUUGCGGCUCAACCGUAAAAUUGCAAUUGAUACUGGCAUUCUUGAGUACAGUUGAGGUAGGCGGAAUUCGUGUUGUAGCGGUGAAAUGCUUAGAUAUCACGAAGAACCCCGAUUGCGAAGGCAGCUUACUAAACUGUGACUGACAUUGAUGCUCGAAAGUGUGGGUAUCAAACAGGAUUAGCUACCCGGGUAGUC
rnacentral:rRNA from 1 species